GCGUUAAGAAUACACCACAAUUUAUCCAAAUUUUUAAAUUGAUAUUUAAUACAGCAGAACAAUUAUUUUAUGCGGUGUACUGUCCAGACGCGGCGCGUCUAUGCCGUAACAGUUGCGCAGAGCCCUAUGUUCAGCAGAGCACACGUUUGAA